GGACGCAACUCUGGAGAGCGCGUAUACAGUUUACGCCACCAAAGGGGAAGGUUCUUAAUCGAACUUAAACUCUCAGGUAAAAGGACAGAGAAGGGUAG
rnacentral:ncRNA from 2 species